CUUACCAAGACUGGGGGAAGGGGAAAAGAACACUGUUUAUACGUGCCUGAUUGGAGAGUUGACGUGCGAUUAUUUUAUCUCAACUUUUUUUAAAGCUGAACCAGUCGUACGAGAGGGGCUGAAGCACAUUAGUGAAGGAUGUGUGUUCAUCUACUGCCAAGUAGGAGAAAAGCCUUAUUGGAAAGAUCCAAAUAAUGACUUCAGAAAAAACUUGAAAGUAACAGCAGUGCCUACACUAAUUAAGUAUGGAACACCUCAAAAACUGGUAGAAUCUGAGUGUCUUCAGGCCAACCUGGUGGAAAUGUUGUUCUCUGAAGAUUAAGAUUUUAGGAUGGCAAUCAUGUCUUGAUUUCCUGAUUUGUUCUAGUAUCAAUAAACUGUAUACUUGCUUUCAAUUCACGUUAGCAAUAAAUGAUGUUA
rnacentral:sRNA from 1 species